rnacentral:rRNA from 1 species
UACGAGGGAGGCAUAGCGUUGCUCGGAAUGACUGGGCGUAAAGGGCGCGUAGGCGGAUGGCACAGUCAGAUGUGAAAUUCCCGGCUUAACCUGGGGCUGCAUUUGAUACGUGUUGUCUAGAGUGAGGAAGAGGGUUGUGGAAUUCCCAGUGUAGAGGUGAAAUGCGUAGAUAUCGAGAGGAACACCAGAGGUGAAGACGGGUUGCUGGCCGACACUGACGCUGACAGCGCGAAGCCAGGGAGCAAACGGG